AGAGCGGCAAUGAUAAAGAGUAGUACGUUCGUCCAUCGGUUUUCAGAGAGUUUGUGGCAGGUGGAAACAAACAACCAGGCGAACGGAAUGGACUUUUGAGCCCCGGGAAGAAUAUUAUCCUACGAUAAAGUAAUUUCCGGCGCGUUCCUUGCGUUAAAAGGGACGAGGCUGUCUCAAAAGCCUAAGGGUCAGACCCCAUAACACAAUAUAUAGGACAUAAUAAUUGGAUAAAUGUGCUAUAUAUUGAUAAAUACACAUGAGUUCAGACCCAUAUGAGACAGCCUCAAUGAGUGACUCUUAGGAGUAAUUAGGGUGGCAACGCGGACCAUUCGUCCCUAUU
rnacentral:ncRNA from 1 species